rnacentral:miRNA from 1 species
UUUGACUGAGAGGUAAGGAAUG